CUACCCUUGACAUGUCCUGGAGGCUCCGGAAACGGGGCUGUGCCCGAAAGGGAACGGGAACACAGGUGCUGCAUGGCUGUCGUCAGCUCGUGUCGUGAGAUGUUGGGUUAAGUCCCGCAACGAGCGCAACCCUUGUCAUUAGUUGCUACAUUCAGUUGGGCACUCUAAUGAGACUGCCGGUGACAAACCGGAGGAAGGUGGGGAUGACGUCAAGUCCUCAUGGCCCUUAUGGGUAGGGCUUCACACGUAAUACAAUGGCGCGUACAGAGGGCAGCUAAGCCGCGAGGUAGAGCCAAUCCCUUAAAGCGCGUCGUAGUCCGGAUUGCAGUCUGCAACUCGACUGCAUGAAGUCGGAAUCGCUAGUAAUCGCAGAUCAGCACGCUGCGGUGAAUA
rnacentral:rRNA from 1 species